UACCAGCACCCCGAGUGGUCGGGACGAUUAUUGGGCCUAAAGCAUCCGUAGCCGGUUCUACAAGUCUUCCGUUAAAUCCACCUGCUUAACAGAUGGGCUGCGGAGGAUACUAUGGAGCUAGGAGGCGGGAGAGGCAAGCGGUACUUAGUGGGUAGGGGUAAAAUCCGUUGAUCCAUUGAAGACCACCAGUGGCGAAGGCGGCUUGCCAGAACGCACUCGACGGUGAGGGAGUGAAAGCUGGGGGAGCAAACCGGG
rnacentral:rRNA from 1 species